rnacentral:lncRNA from 1 species
ACCUCAAACGUCAUCUGUGUUGUUGAUAGGUACUUAAUAAUAAUAAUUAUAAAAUAAAUAUACAUAAACUUUUUAAUAUUGUAGCAUUAUCAAUAUCAACAUCCCAUCACUCAAAAAUAUAAAAAAAAAUUACUCACAACUGUUUACUCUUAAAUAAUUGACACCUUACUCUAAGCUUGCUGCCCAAGCAAGAACCAUAUAAAUUCUUUACAUUAACUAAUUAAUUACUUAUUAAUAAGAUAAAGUUAAAAAUCAACCAAUUGCAUCACUCCACGUUCUUCCUUUCUUCAUUGCUACUGCUGACUCACAGUCAAACUGGGACCCACUUUGACCGGCCAUAUAUAAAACGAUAAAUAAUAAUAACGCCGGAGGAAAUUUGAAAUCGCCGCCGUUGGGGGAGAUUGAAUUUGAGGCGACACAACUUGGGGGGGGCGAGCCGACGUAAAUGCAGAAGAGCACGGCGGAGAGGGCGGCGCCAGUGCCGAGAGUUGCAGUGGUGGUUUACAUUUUGAAAGGGAAGUCAGUGUUAAUGGGUCGAAGGCUUUCCUCCGCCGGUGACUCCAGCCACUUCACCUUCGCACUCCCCGGCGGACACCUGGAGUUCGGUACAUCUUUCUCUCUCUCUCUUGAUUAUGAUUUUCAUCUCUUUCUCUCUCUUACUGCCAUGUGAAACAAAGGGAAAUUUGGUGAUUGUUUUAUGGUUGGAUAUUAUUGCAGGCGAGGAGUUUGAAGAAUGUGCUGUGAGAGAAGUUAAGGAAGAAACAGGAUUGGACAUUGAGAAAACAGAGUUUUUGACUGUUACAAACGUUCCUUUUCUCAAUGAUCCAAAGCCUUCUCAUUAUGUCACCAUUUCUAUGCGAGCUGUUUUGUCCGAUCCCUCGCAAGUUCCGGAAAAUCUUGAGCCAAACAAGUGCAGUGGCUGGGACUGGUAUGACUGGGAUCAUCUUCCAAAUCCUCUAUUUUGGCCUAUGAAGAAGAUGAUAAGAAGUGGGUUUAAUCCAUUUCCUGUUUGAUUGGUGUUCUUAUCAGUGUACUCAUGUAAUUGAUGAAUCUGAUAUGUUAAUCUCUCUGAUGCUUUAGCUUUUUGUUUUGUGUCUUAAUGCAUAUUAGUUUGGUUGAUGAAGAUGAAUGUUAUGGGGGCUUAUUGAGUGGAUUGUGUAACCUUUAUUUGAAUGUUUCAAGGUAUGGCUACUGGGUACCAAAGGUCAUGUACCUUUUAAAUUGCUCCUUUAGUUAUUUCAAAUUUGUGUUUGAGAAAACCUUCUUCUGAUCAUAAUUCCUCACUGUUUUCUUUCAUAAUUGUGUUGAGGAUCGGGCGUGAUGAGUACUUCUCUAGUUGUCAAUUAAUUUUGAAAUGAAAUACAUGUUAUCUAAGAUGUCAUAUGAACCCACGAGGAAGAAUAGGAAAAUUUCAAGGGACUUCACAUAAUUCUUACAAGAUAAGAUAGAUCAUGCUAUUUCUCUCAUGUUUCAAUUGUUUUUAAAUGAAACAUCAUUUUUGUUACUGGGAGCUCUUAGGGAAAAAUGCAAAUCUAUUGAAGGUUAAGGUUUUGGCAAAGAAGUUGCCAAAAGUCACAAAUUAAAUAUGUUUCUGAUUAAUAGAUCAAAUGGGCACUGAUCUUUCUAUAACAAAUACAGUAACUGAUAACUGUGUCAAGUAGAAAGAACAAAGACGAAGAAAAAAACACAAACAAACUCAGUUAUAUCUUCACCUUGAAUAUCCUCCCUUAAGGCCCUCUCAUGCUAAUGUGUAACUAAGAUAAAACACUUUGUACUUCUGUAUCAAAUGUGUGUGAAGAUAAAACACUCGGUGCUUGUGUAUCAAAUGUGUGUUUGGCCUAAAAAUUCAUUAAUUCCACUCUUAUGAAAACAACAAUUUUAUACUUUAUCAAUUCGAAUUCACUUCUUAAUCUCUAGCUAGGAGUUGAAAGAGGUUUAGUUGAAUACAUUGAAAUUUGAGCUUUUACCUGGAAAAACCAAGUAUCCAACUUAUAGAUAAUACUAAAGUAUGAUGGGUUAUUUGACUCUAAAACUUAAGUUUACUGUUUAGUGUGUUUAUUGAUGUAAUAAAUGGUUGUGAAAGGAGCAAAUUUAAGUUUGAAGAAAGUAAAGCAUCGGUGGUGUAUUUUUUAAAUUUGAUUUGAGAACAUAAUAAGGUGCGUAAAGAAAAGUGCCCUUAUGAAGAGAAUUCAUAAUUUUGUUAUGCCUUUGUGCAGAAACCAUCACACAGUGGCCCAGGAACACAAUUACAAAAUUUUGGAUAUGAUUGAUUUGAAAAAUAUGCUGUUGGGUCACGGCUAAAGGCUUAUCACUCCAGUGAAUUGUCAUAUAUAUAUAUAUAUAUAUUCUGAACGUGAAUGUCUAUUAACUAAUGCAAAACAAUUACAUGGAAAAUAGUUAUACUUAAAGUAUAAUUUCUUUCCUUCGUUCUAAAAAAGAAAAGGUAAAUUUUGAGAUCUAAAAAUAAAAUUAAAAACUCAAAUUUCAAACUAUUUGAAAGAAUGAGUUUUGAAAAAGAAGUUGUAGAAUGACUUAACACAUUCAUUAAACUUUUUUUGAUUGCAUUUAAAAAACAAGUUUUGUAAUUAAAUAACAAUGUAGAAAAGAAAAAUACUUGAAUUAUUAUUUUAUGAUUUCCGAGGAGACAAUAUUACAUAAUGACUUUAAAUUUUGUGGUUACGAUAUUGUUUGGGUUUAGAGGUCCUUUUUGAAACCUAACUCUCCAAAUUUCUUUCAUUAUCUACCACCGUACCAUUAUGUUAUUAAUUAUUUGUGUAACACACAAUUCUCCCAAGUAGGUUGGGUUGCUCAACUUCCUCCUCUUUCCUGAUUCUCUUUAGCUACUCCCCUUUUGUUCUUCUCCCACAUUAUCUAACUAAUUGAAAGUGACCAUACAAUUACAUUAACAAAUAUUAAUCUUUCCAUCAAAUUUUUUAUUUAAAUUGAUUCUGAACUAAAAUGUAUGUGCAAUUUAAUUAAGGACAGGAUCCAAUCUUUCACUUCUCAAAUCAUCUAAACUCAUCUUAACUUAAUAAAUAGAAAUGUUUAGUAUGUUAAUCUAAUUUGAUUUAAAGUCGUUGUAUAAUAAAUUAACAAUAUGAGUGUAUUUGGGAUUUGUUUUUAUUUUCUUUUAAUUUUAUAUAAAAGUUAGGUUCAAAUAAUUCUAUUGCAUCAAAUUUCAGCUUUUUACUGAUCUAAUUCCUCAAUUCAAAGAAUGUUUUGUUGUGUAAUUUGAGUGUUUCAACAAAUUAUUGACCAAAUCUAUAUCCCUAUGUUAGUUUAGAAAAGAAAUAUUCAGUACUAUGAAAUUACUCACUUUUUGUUUAUAUACUAUGGAAUUACUUUUAUAAAUGACUUUUUUUUCUUAAGUACAUACUAGUUUAAUAUAACGUUGCCACAUUCUUAAAGAUGUUGAUAUGUGACUAAUCAGUAAUAAUAAAAAUACAUAGUGCUCAAUUAUUGUAGUAUAUGAGAAGAUUUCUACCAUUUCUAUUAUAUACCAUGACUCAUCCAUCUAUUCAUAUAAUAGCAUACCAAAGAGCUACCAUUUGAAAAUACUUUUUUUUGCUUUUUCAAAACUAUUUUUAAAAAAUAAAAUGGGUGAAAGAUAUAAUUUAAUAAUAAAACUAUUUUUAAAUGUAACAAAAUAAACUUAAAUAUUUACAAAAUAUAACAACACAAUUAUCUAUAAUUUUUCCAUGUGUGUAUAUAUAUAUAUAUAUGAAAGUAAGUAUAACCACCAAACACAGGAGAACCAAGUGUGUUUAUAUUAAACUCACAAAGCUCCACCUUCCAUUGCUCAUUAAGUCUUACCCACCAGGACAAGACAAAGACAUACAAGAAAGAUCAUCAUCUUUGUUUCUGUCUUUGUUUAACUUUCCAUCUUAUUAUUUUUUCUUUUUCUGAAGAUGAAAACGAUUAUGGCCAAUUCUUCUUCACAUGAUUCCUUCUCCUUCUCCAAGAGAUAUAAUCAUUAUUUCAACUUCAACAAAAACACCAAACACAACCAUAACCAACACCAAGAUCAAGAAGAUGACCACCACCAAAUCCUAACCGUCAACCCUCCAAAACACAAGCACACCACUGCUGUCUCCGUCUCCAAGCUCCGUUCCGCCAUUGCAUUAUCGUUCGGGAUUAGGACUCGGUCGUGUCGAGUCCUGGGGACGAUAUUCGGUCAUAGACGAGGGCACGUGCAUUUCUCGGUACAAACAGAGGGGAGUGCGAAGCCGAUGUUCUUAGUGGAGCUAGCGAUGCCGACGACUGCGCUCGUUCGAGAAAUGGCGUCGGGGGUGGCGAGGAUUGCGUUGGAGUGCGAGAGAGGGGAGAAAAAGAAGAAGAAGGGAGAGUUGAACGAGGAAGGGAUAUGGAGAGCAUAUUGUAAUGGGAAGAAGUAUGGAGUUGCUCAUAGGUUUGAGUGUGGGGCUGAAGAAUGGAGGAUUCUUAGAGCUGUUGGGCCUAUAACUGUUGGAGCUGGGGUGUUGCCUGGGAUUGAAGAGGGAGGUUGUGAAGGUGAAGUGAUGUUCAUGAGGGCUAGGUUUGAGAGAGUCGUGGGUUCGAAGGAUUCAGAAGCUUUUUACAUGAUUAACCCUGAUGGGGUUGGUGGCCCUGAGCUUAGUAUUUUUUUGCUCAGGGUUUGAUUCGUUUCUCUCGCAAGAACAGUACUUGGAGUAUAGUUUGGGUUACAGUAAUCUUCAUCGAUAUACAUGACAAGUACUUCUGGUCUCAUACUUGAAAGAGCUGCAAAAAAAAAAAGAAAAAAAAAGAUGGAUGUAGUUCAGAAUUCACUCAAGUAUUUUUCUUCUUCUCUACUUUCACCAACUCUUUUUUUUCUUCUUCUUCUUUUUCAUAAAAGAAAAUCUUUAUAUCCAUUUGAAGCUUUGUAGGGGAAGGGUUUUGCAGUAAUAAUAAUAUGUAUUAAAUAUGACUCAUGAGCAUAAUAACAAUAACAAUAAUCUUAUAUCUUGGAAAAUUUCAGUCAUUUAAUUGCAUUGUUUUUCAGCUACAUUAUUAUUGUGUUGUUAUCUUUGGUUCGAUUAACUCAGGCUGAAAUCACUAUGAUUAAAUUGAAGAUACCUUCAAAAAAAUUAAAUACUAUUUUAGAUCAGUAACACUCAUUUUUGGCCUUGAGAUUUAAAGAGAUAGUAGAUUUUCAAAACCAUAAACUUAGUUUCCAUUUCAUUCUUCUAAGUGAUAUUUUGGAUUCCAAAAUUUGAUUUUUGAUUGGUACAUGAAGUUUUAAAUUAACUUCUAAAUGAUGCUAACGGAAGUUGAGAUCUCAAAUAAUGAAAAAAAACAUUGUAGUAAACAAAACUAGACUUUGAUGAUGAUAUAUACACACACAUGAUGAAGAUAAGGAAAUUAAAAUCAAAGACUAAAUGGGACUGAAGGUAAUUAAAUGUAGAGAAAAUAAUUAAUUUUCUUGAUAUUGAAAACUUACUUUUGAAACCAAUCAUUUAAAUGCAUGCAUUCACAAAAUUGUCAAAUUAAAUAAAAAAGAAUCAUUAAGAGCUAUCAUUAAAAGUUCAAAUAUAAAUUAAGUAGCCCAAAUAGAGCGCACUAACAUACUUCAACUAAGGUAUAGAUAUCUUAGCCAUCAAGAGAUCUAUGUGAUUUGAACUAAAAAAUUGAAUUGAUUUGACUUUAUUUUUAAUGUACUUUCUUUACAACUUUAAGGAUUAUAACGUUGGUACAUACUAAAAUUUAAUUUUUAAUAAUAAAAUUAGUGUAUAUAUAUCACUUAAUGAUAUAAUAAUUAACUAGAAAUCAAGAGAUUAUAACAACCCUUCUGACUUUAAAUAAAUACUUUAGAGUUGAGCUUUGAGGCUUUCUUGAUGGAAAGCCCAUUAGUCUCCAAGUAUUUUGCAUACACAUACUAAUAUUUAGGGGUGGAAACAAUUGCAAAUAUAAUCGUGUAUAUAUAUAUAGUAACAUUCUGAAAAAAUUACAAAUAUAUAGCAAAUUCUAUUAACAAUAUAUCUUUUAUUGUAAAAAAAAACUAUAUCAUUCAUGGUCUAUCAUAUAUAUCAAUGUAUUUAUAAAAGUUUUGUUACUGUCUAGUAAAGUUUUUGCAAUCAUUUUGUUAGAUGAUUAAAUUAGGAUAUUAGAUGAUUAAGUAGUGUGCUAAUUCUUUUUUUUUUUUUUAACUUAUUUUAAUAAUAAUGAAAGAAAAUUAAAAAUUAAAAAAAAACUUUAGAAAAAUAAGUUAUAUUUUUCUAAAACAAAAAUAAGUUAUCAAAUAUAUAUGAUUUUUUAAUUUAAUAAACAAAAAUUUAAGAAAAAAAUUGAAAUAGUUACCCAAGGAGUUUUGUUGCAAUGUAUUUUUGGUUUUUCUUUUUAAAAAAAUUAUGAUGUAAUUGAAAAUUGUUUUUAACCUAAUCAAGGAUUGUUGUAAUAUUUAAGUUUUUUUUUCUAAAAAAAAAACUAUAAAGUCCUAAUAUUUAAAUGUCUCUAAAUUAUGAGGAUUUGUGAUUCUAAUUGCUGCUUUAUCCGAUUAGAACAUUCCACAAUAAUUUAUUUAACUAAAAAUUACAUUAGAAAUGCUCCACCUAAAGAAUUUAGUCCAAAAUUUUCACUAACUUUAUUCUUUAUUCUUUCUAUUUGAUGUAACAAUUUUGUCUCCAAAAUUGCAGCAUAAAUAAAUCAAUAAAUUAAUUAAAAACUAAAUAUUUUGAUAAAAUACAAAGUGUACCUCAUAAAAUAAUAAAAAUGAACGUAAAAUUUUAAUAUAUUUUUAACAUUAGAAAUAAAAUAGUUGUAUCAAAACAAAAUUUUUAUGAAAUGGAAACUACGAUUGUUGGGGAGAGAUUAAAGGUGUAAUUUAAUGAAGAAGUAAAAACAAAAUUUGGUAAAUAAAGUAGUAAAUAGAAUAUUGAAAUUUAGUUAAAAAGAAAAGAAAAUGAGUUGUGGGGUUGGGACCCUACAACACCGACAAAGUGAAAUAGGUCAAAACCGGGUUUGAAUUUUAGAAUCUCUUUUGGAAUAAUUCUGACCCAAAUUAGCGGAGUCGGGUCGGGUGCCACCAUAUUAUUUUAUUCACUUAUUCAUUAAUUAAAACUAAACUACAUAAAUUCCUCAUUUAAUUCCCUUCAUUAGGAAACACCUUCCUGAUUAACACCCAUAACAUCCUCUUAAUUCAUUUAUCCCAUUACUAUAUUACUAUAUUACUAUUUCUUUUUUCUUUUUUCCAAACACACACACAAAUUUACCAUUUUAACCUCAACUUUAAACCCUAUAUCGGUUUGAAUGUUCUAAGUUUGAAAUUUUAAACGAGUCUAACGCUAUAAAACCCUUCAUGGUGUCUCUUGGAAUCAUGCCCUUUCCUUUUGUUGAGAGUGACAUAAGAAUACAUAGAUGAAGAGAGUCGUAUCUACCAAUGGUCUAAACCACAUGGUGUUUGAUAUAUGAAUAUGUGGAAGAUUAGUUUAGUCAAAAGUGAAAUUAUGAUAUAAUGUUUGUAUAAUUUCCAAAUAUUUUGAUCCUAUAAUGUCAAAGUUAUUAUUAUAGCAGUUUUUGGAAGUAGAACUGUCUUCACUUCCUUGUUUUUCCAACUCCUUUGCCCCUACUUGUAUAAUUAGUCAUGUCUCCAUUUACAAAAAAAGUUUUAUAUUUGUAGUUGAAUGCUGACUUUUAGCAUACAAACAUUAAAUGCAUUUCAUUUCCUUGUUUAAGAAAAACAAUAAAAAUUUUGGUAGGUUUAUUACUAAUUCUUUUAAUCAGAAUAAAUUAAUUAUUUAGCCAUGAUUAAAUCUCAAUUUUUUUUAAAAAAAAAAUACACUCUAAAAAUGUAUGCAUUAAUUUUCCCCCUCUUUUAUACAAAUUAAUAUAAUAUAUAAAUGAAAAUCCAUUAGAGCUAUGUUGGAAAUGGAAAAAUGUACUUUAAUUUUUAAAAAUGUAAUAUUGCCAAUUUUCAUUAAAUCAACCAAUAAAGUCUCCCUAACAUGGAAAGUUUUUUGCACAAUCUUCUGCUGGAAUUUUGCCAUAUUUCAGGUAUAUUUAUUCUGAAAAAUUCUAAGUAUUAAAUACAUAUAAUCUAUAUUUGUAUAGUUUAUACUUAAGGAAAAUAAUUAGGUGUUGUUUAUUUAUUUAUUUUUUAAAAAAUAAUAAUCAUAUAUCUAUUUUUAUAUAUGUUUACGGUCUUAGUAAACUUUUGCUUGGUUGUUAUUUGAGAUGCAUAUAGAGAUUUAUAGGUAACUAGACAACACUCAAGUUUCUUAUAUAAUGAUAUAUUAAAUAGUAUGAAUAUGUGAGAUAUAAGCCAACUAAAUGUUAAUAAAUUAAGUACUUGGUAGAAACAUAAAGGAACUAACAAUCGUGAAAGUGAACAUACCAAAGAUGUUAGCUACCGUGAAGGCUUGUGAUACAUAAAUAACAUAUCAAUUUAUUAUUGAAAAUAAUAAAAAAAAAAAAGAGGCUAGCAAGAUAGGCUUUUACUUGUACCAAUAAAACAAACUUAUAGACCUAAAUAUCCAUUACAAAGUUUUUCUUUAAUACCAUAUUGAAAACUCUCCCUGUAUAAUUGAGAGAAUUUUAGAGAGACAAAAAGAAAGGAAAAAGAGAGAGCCUUUUAGGCUUCUCAACAUACAACCAUGUUAAAAGGAAACUUUAAAAGAAAAAUUAAGUUAAAUAACAUAAUGAUAAGAUAUGAAAUUUACUAUAUAUACAAUAAUUCCUUUAAUUAAUACUUUAAAAAUCCAAAAUGUACGGACAAAAUAAGAUAUUAAAACUAAAAUAUCUUGAUUUAAAAGUGUAUUAAAAGUAAAAAUAAAAAAGGACAAUUUUGGUAAUUAGAAGAAAAGGCAUGCAUAAAUAAAAAAUAAAAAAAAAAUAAUCCAAGCUGUCUUUUCAAAAUUUCACUUCCUUAUAUGAACUGCACCUUCCUAAUAUUGCUUCAUCUGGGACCAUCCAAUUUUCAUUCAGUAUUUAUAUAAUCAAUUAAUUAGGGGAAUUCAUUAUUUCAACCCAAAAAUAAAAAACAUAGAUGGAUCAUAACUACUACAAUUCGAAUUCCCUACCUGUGAAUUAAUUGAAAAUUAGGCCAUAAAUAAUAAUAAAAGAAAAAGAAAGGAAAUUAAGAGAACCUCUUUCACAUAUAAACAAAUGGAAUUUUGUAUACACACUAUAUCUAUAAUUCUACAUAUAAAUAUAUAUAUAUGUUUCUUUUUUCCAACAAAGAGAAGAAAAAAAAAAAGAAAAAAGAGCCUGUAGAUUGCAAUUAGGAUCUUAGAUUAGAAUGACAGGCGUUGGGGGGGAAAAUGCUCCAAAAUUAAGGACGAGUUGAGAGAAAGAGAGAGAGAGAGAGAGAGAGAGAACUCAGUUGAGCGGGGCGGAGUUGAUGAGCGAGUUGUGUCUUUUUGAAGGAGCGGAAGGCGGAAUGGGGCCUUUGGGAAGGAAGCUGAAGAUUUGAUGGUUGAAGCGGAAAGCGGUGGUGAGGUGGGUAUUGUGAGACGAGGGCUCCGUCAUUGUGGUUGCUGGAAAUGGGCGUGCGGUGGUGAAAUUGGGAAGGGGAAGAAUGAGGAGGAGGAUGAAGAAAAUGGAGGAGGAGGCCAUUAGAGAUGAGAGAAAAUUGGGGAUUUUUGUGGUGUGUUUUGGGGAAAAUGAGGGAAAAGGGGGGGAAUGAGAUUUGUAUAUAUAUUUGCAUGAAAUUAAAUAAAUAUAUAUAUACAAAGGAAAUAUUAAAGUAUAGGAUAAAUUAAAUUGAAUUAAAAACUAUAGGGUAACACGCUAAGCUAACACGCUAUGACUAUUGGACAUUUUUUCAAAUGUCAACGCCUUUGGGAACAAGGAUUCAUUUUAACUAUUUUCUUCUUUAUAUAUAUAUAUAUUUAAAAAAAAAAUAAACUAUUUUAAUUCAUAUAUAAAUAAAUAAAUAAGAAAGCAAAGCCCAAUUCAACGUAAUCGUACACAUAUUUGGUGCCGCCUUCGACUACAUACACCAUGACCACGCCUCUCUUUAUUUAAUUAACUAAUUCUUUAUGAAAAUAUCAAUUAAAUUUAAAUUGGUAAUUAAAUCCAUUUAUUGUAGGUAUGAAGAUGAUGAAACUUAGUUUCCUACUGAAAGGUCAAGUCGCUUUUCAAACUAUUUAGUGCAUAUAAUUGCUUGUACUAAAAAUGGUAUAUCUAAUUAAUGGAAGAAGUUAUUCUUACUAGAUCGGCAUAUUCCUUAAAUUGUUUCAUGAGAAAAGUAAGAAUAUUAUUGGCCAAUAUAAUUAUGUUUUUGUAGCAUAUAACAAUUGAUCAACCUAGAGAGUCAAACCAUAAAUUUCGUUGAUUUUCGUUGAGUUUAGCUCUUAUUAGAUAUUAUCGAGUUAAAUAUUUAUAAACAUCAAUUUUUUUUCUCUAUAUAUAAAAAAACAGUCUAAUUAUUUGAAAAUUUCUUUGACCCAUUAAAAUGCCAUUUUCUUUUCUUUUUACUCUAUAGUAAAAAGUCAUCAACGUUUAUACAUAUGUCAAUAACUAAUAUGUUAAACAAAUCUAAAAAGAAAAUAUACUUUUCAUUAAAAAAAUAUUAAAUUUGUAUAUUUCAAUACAAACAAAUAAAAAACAAUUUAAAUUUAGUAAGAAGUAUUUAUUGGCGCGUGUGGGUCAGUGUUUGAAAGAAUGGGAACAGGAGCAAAGUAUUUGAGAAGAUGUUUGUGAGACACGCGCCAUAAAACGGACUCCAUAGAUGGCAAGUACUCGUCGAUAAAUAAGAAAUUAUCACAGGUUAUUUAAAUAUUAAAUAUUAAUGUAAAAUAAAAAGUCAAAUUCUUAUUUAUUUAUUUAUAAUUUAUCCAUAAAUAAUAAAUUACCCUUUUUUCCGUUCUCUAUUCCAAUGCCGCCACUUUCAUUCUUCUCUUUCUUUCUUUCUUUCUUUAUAAUAAUGAUCUCACCACAAAUAAUUUGAGUCUCAAUUUUCAUAAACUUGAAAUUUAAAGUUACUUUUCCUAUUUCUCAAUUAUUUGUGAUUCCAAUUCUUUAUAUAUAUAUAUAUAUAUAUCAGUUUGGUUCAAGUUUAAAAGUGGAAGAUAGUUUUCCUGCCAUUCAAAAUUAGUGGGUGAAAUUUAGAGUAAUCUGAUAAAAUAAGUAAAAUAAUAGCAAUGAUGGAGUAAAAACAAGAUAAAAGUGUAUGUACUUUCAAACAAAUCUAGUGUCAACUAUUAUUUUUUCUUGUUAUGGUGUGGGUAAUUUUUCCCAACUUUCUUACCUUCUUUCUUAGUCUCCAUUUAUCAUCAAUAAAAAGAAAAAAAAAGAAGAAGAAGGAUUUAGAAUAUAUCCAAAUCUACCAGCAAUCAACAGACUUGUGUUUUGUUAUAUUCAUAAUAUUUAAAAAUAAUAAUUAAUAUUGGUUGUAAUUAAGUUUGAAUUUUGGUAAAAGAAAAGAAGGAGAUGAGCAAUAAAGUUGAAAAAAUGUGAGUUAGAUGAAGUAGAGAUAAUAUAAUGUAAAUGUAUAAUUAAAAGGGGAGAAGGGGGAAAAAAGGAGGAAAGGAAAGGAAAGGAAAGAAAAGAAGAGGAAAAAUGAGGCGAUCUUUUGCGUGCGAAGGUGUUGUAAGAAAACUAGGUGGAGUGGGGUCCGCCACCGAUCUUUGAUUUUCCUUUUUCUUUUUUCUUUUUUUUUUGAGAUUUGAUAGAUAUCUGGAAUUUGCCACGUCAGUGACUCGUACCGUAUUUCAUUUGUGCACUACCGCAUCCAAUCAGCAUCCCAACAACUUUGCUCUCUUCACUUCUCCAUUUCAUCUAACCGGCGGCAUUCAAAUUUUAGAGAUUAAUGUGUUACUCUUUAUAAAAUUAAAUAAAAUAAAUGAGAAGCAGAAGCUAAACAUCUUUAAAUAAAUUCCGUACCUUCAUCUUUAAUACCUUCCACAAAAAAGGAUUAAUUUAUAUCAAUGCAUUAUUGUAACCACAUCUUACAUAGACGAAGGAAACAUUCAUCGUCUCAUUUCAUGUGUCAUUCACCUAGUCAUCUUUAUCAAAACGAGACAUAUAUAAUAUAUGGAUGUUGACUCGAUUCAACACAAUCUAAUUAUAAGAAUGAAUAACCAACUACUCUAACACAAAAAUAAAUGAUUUUGAACCACGUAUCCAUCCUACACCACCUACAUGGCUAAUAUAACUCCAAUUUUGAAAAUUGACGUGAAGACUAAAUAUAUAACUCCAACGAUAGACACAGAUAAAAAUCAUUGUAGAAAUAUAUCCGUAUGUAUCAUUGAUAGAUUCUAAAUUUUUACUAUAUUUUGUAAAUGUUUUCAACGAUUUUUAUCAUUUGCAAUAGUUACGUCAAACUAAAUACACAAAGUUGAUGUAUGAUAUUACAUAGGAGGUUUUCUCAUUAAAGUAAUGCAACUUUGAACAUAGAAAAAUAAUUUUAAAAUAAAUAAAAACUUAUGAUUUCAACUCUUACGUCUACAAUGAGCAAAAUUUGACUAAAGAAUUUACAUAUUUUAAUGUAGAGAGAGAGAGAGAGAAAAAAAAAAAAGAAUGGUAUUUAAUGGAUGGAGUAUGAAAUUUGAAAAAAAAAUAUAUAUAUACAUAUAUAGAGAGUUGAAAAUGGUCGAUUUCAAAGCUUUGAAAAAAGGAAUUCAUAGUUGAAUUAACGAAAACAAGUGGGUGAUUUGUUUAAUUAUUAAUUACAAAAAGGUUAGGUAAUGAGUAUAUUUGAGGCUAAUUAAUACAUUUUUGUGACAUUAAUUCUAAUUUUUAAUCCAUUAUUCUUUUCAUCAUCAUCGUUUUCUUUUCUUACGUUUAAAUAUAAUUUGAUUCUUAACAAACAUUGCACAAUUUUAAUAUAUUAACACACCAAAUUCUUAAUACCCAAUCAUUUCCAGGACUAUUUGUUGAAUUUAAUCAUUUACAACAUUUAUUACACCCUUACAAAAUCUAUCAUUUUCAUUUACUUAUUACACUUUCAUCCAAUUCAUUUUAUUUUAAUUCUAUCAAAUUAUUAGCCAAACGUUAAAAAAAAAAAACAAAAUUUUGUUUCAGGUCGUCUUUUAAAAUUAAACCUACAACGUAAAUCAUAUCAUCAUACCUUUUAUAUACUUAUUUUUGUUUUCAUAAAAUUUAUAAUUUCGAAUAAAACAUGAAAACCAAGUAAAAAGUUACGAGAAAACAAACAAGUUGCUUAUAAUAAUAGUAGUAUGAAUUGGGUGUCGCCCUCGUAUUUAUCAUAGUAGGUAACAAAUUUAUAGAGUAGGAAGACAUAUAACUUUUCUUGUGGCUGAAAAAUGGGAAAUUGCUAGUUCUUAACUUUACAUUAUAAUGUUAAAAUAUUUGGGAAUUAGAUAUGGGGUGUGAAAAUGAAAAUGUUGUAUUAAAGGAAAAGGGUGUGUUGUUUGAAAAUGUGAUGUAUGCAUGCAUUAUACCCAAAGGCCAAAUGCACAUGGGGUGUGUGUGUGAGACUUUUUCUUUUCUUUGGGGAAAUUUAAAUUAUCCCAUAUGGGUAAUGUGGGUCAUCUUCUGUCUCUCAUACACAUUUCCUUUUUUAUCAUGUUACUUAUUUACUAUACCCCUUUUUGGUUUUUGUUUUCCUUCUAAUUUAGUGCUUGCUUAUAGAAGUUAUUGCUCUAAGGGAGUGGAUGAUGUUAAUUUCAACUUAUUAUUUAAUCUCUUUUGCAAUUGUGUAGAAUAAUUGUGUCAAAUGUUCACCCAACUUAUUAGGUUGUUUUUGAGCUUUUUAUACGCCAAGUUAAUCGAUCACUAUACUUAGAAAAAAUUGUAUGAGUUAGGUUUUCUAACACUAACACUCUCACGAUACGGUUUUACUUGACUUGAUGGAUUACUUUUGAUAGUUUAUUAAUUUCAAACUAUAUAUUCAAAUAUUGGAGCGUAAAAAUAUUUGAGAAUGUGUUUGGAUUGACUUUCUAAGUGUUUGAAUACAAGUGUAAAAAAACUUGUGAUGUCUACUUGAUGGAACCAUUAAAUAGAAAUCUAUUACGCAUGAAAUUAGAAGCUUGUAAUUGAGUUGGUAAAACUUUUGGAAAGUAUAGAUUGAUGAUAUAAUUGACCCUAACCCAAAAUUUAGAGGCAACUUUUUAACAAUAUUGGUAACAAAUAAAUACUUGAUAAAGUAGAACAUGUGUUUUCUUUUCACUCUUUUUCACAAUAAGACUGAAGAAAAAUGGAGGUUUCAUUGUCAACAAAGGGUCGUAGUAAAGAGAAACAAUAACCCUUUUAUUUAAGGAUGGAUUAGACAUGAACAAAAGUAGUAGAAUAUAAAGGUAAAGUGAGCUACUAACCCUAACACAAUUGAUAAACUGUUGAUACUAUCAACCUUGAGUUUAAUAUAUAUAUAUAUAUAUACAUAUAUAGUUAAUAAAAUAAUAUUAAGUAUUCGUACACUUUUUCAAUGCAUUUAUUGUUGAUUAAAUUAUAUAACUCGUGAAACGUACAGGAAAUUCUCUUCAUGGGUCCAAAUCCAAUGAAGAAUUUGAAAAUGUCAAUAUCACUUAAAUAAAUUUUAGCUUCUUGGUCAGAUCAUGAAGAGUCAUAUAUACUAAUAUUUUUAGAAUAAGCAUAUAGCCUAUAUAUAUAUAUAUAUAUAUAUAUAAUUUUGCAUUAGAAAAUGCCAUAUGGACAUGGUCAACAAAAAUUAAAAAUUAAAAUAAAAAAAUGGUGCAAAUAAAAUUUAGAAGUUGGAGGUAUAGAAGUAUAUUCUAACUUUUUUAAGUGAAGAAUUAAUUGAGAUACUAUGCAUUAGUUAUUUUAUUUAAAACCAGCCCAAAGUUAUUUAAAUAAAAAUUUCAUUCUUAAAAAGUAUUCUAUAUUUUACACUAAUUUAGUAUUUAGAGUUUUUUUUUUUACAUGAGUGAAAGCUAUGCUAAUUAACACAAAUUUUUUAAUAAAAAAAUUAAAAUAAUCCAAUUAUGAAAGUUUUAGAGAUUAAAUUGAAUUAUCUUUUUAGUAUUAGCAAUAAAAUAAAGUAACAAAGCUUUAAUUUUAUGUAAUAGAGAAAUGAUUGUCAACAAAACUAUUGUUUUGCAAUUCGUCAUGAUCUAAGGAAUAUUAAAAUGACAUAGAGACAAGUAGUGGGUGACAUCACUUCAUGAUAUUUCUAAGAAAAUUAUUGAUUCAAUAUCUAUUUCAUUAUUUCUCAACGAAAAAAAUAAAUGAGAGUAUGUAAAUAGGUAGAGAGAUUAAAGGGACUUAAGUAAAGUAAAUAAUACAUAUUUAAUAAUAAUCAAACUGUAUUAUAAUACAUUAAAUACCUUAAUAUUCUUAAUAUCCUAAUGCUCUAAUGGUUAAAAGGCAAAACAUACUUUGUUUCAAUUUAGUAACUCUUGUUUGAAAAUGAAUGAAUACAUGCAUCAAUGCUUUUCCAUUAAAUUCAAUAUUGGCAGAGGUUAAAAUUGAAUCAAUCCAUUGGUGAAUGUAAUUAAAAUAGUAUAAGAUUUUUAGUGAAUUGACCCAAACUUAGAAACAACAAACCACUACAUAAUGGUAAAAGUAAAAAACUAUAGAUUUCUAUCAAACUCUUAAAAACUAAACUAACAAAAUGAAUAGAAUGUCUCCAAAUAACUUUUAUUGUAUUGCUUUAUAGAUUUUUAAUUAAAAUUAAGGAAUGUGAUUGUAAAUGAAAAAUUAUUGAAAAUAUUUUUUUUUAAAAUGUAAAACUUCUAUCAAUCUUUAUCAAUACACUAGCUAUCAAUCAUUCAUAAAAUCUAAAAUUUUGUUAUGCUUUUAUAAAUACUUUGAUUAACGAUCGUGUAUAUAUAAAAAAAAUGAUAUAGUCUUUCAAACAUAACCCAAAAAUUUGACGAAAUUUAUAUAUAUUAAAAUUAGGUGGAAGGGAGAUGGUGGAUGAAAAAAAAUGGUGCAUUGGUUGGGGAUAAUAUUCAAUAUGCAUUUAUGAUCCCAACUGUCUCUCUGCCCCCAAAAUCUUUGUUAGUAUAAUUCUUAUUAUGAUAUACUGUACCAUGUUAAAACAAUAUUUAUAUCAAUUUAAAUAUUAAACUUUAUAAGUGAAACUCUAAAUAAAUAAUUGCUUAGUGUAAUUUUUAAAAUAUUGUUAUAUUUUUAAUUAUUAUUCAAAAAAUUAUCAUCAAUUAUAAUUAAUUUAUUAUAUAAUGAACCAAAACAAACUUUUAGAUUUUAUCGAUGAUAGAUACUUAUAGAUACCAAUAGAAGUUUAUCAACGUCGACUAUCGAUAGAAUAUAAAAAAUUAUCAUAUUUUGUAUUUAUUUUGAACAUAACUUUCUUUUUUAUAAAUAUAUUAAUUUAAAUCUUAAUCUUUUAGGAAUGUACUCAAAUAAAAAAUAAUAAUGGACAUAAUUAUUACUUUAUGAUUUAAAUUGACAUAAAUUUGUUGGUAUGUUAUAUUUGCUAAUAGCUCGAUUCUAAUUCAAAUUGAACUAAAAAAAUGUUUAGGAAAAAAAUGAAAUUUUAUUUAAGUUGUUUUAAUAAAGCUGAAAAGCUAAAUUGAGUAGCAGUUAAAUAUUGAAUUUGUCGAAAAUAUAGUUAAAAAUGAAAAGAAGUAUUGUGUAAGAAAGAAGUGAGAAGAUUUGAAUUGAAAGUGUUUAACAAAAAAGAUAUGAAAAUGGAUGAGAUUGAAGAAUUGUAAGUCUUUAUGUUUGCCCACACCAAAGUGGCAUUUAAUGCUCAUGCUUGAAAAAGUAUUUGACACAAAUCUGUAAGACAGAUUUGUGAGACCAAAGCCUUAAAAUUACAUUACAUUGCAAAUGAGAGAGAGAGAGAGAGAGAAUUUUGUCCCUUCUUUUUCUUUUUGUAUUUAAUGUAAGAUUUUGGUGAUUUUUUCUUUGGUCUUUGUAUUCACAUUUCAAAGUUCUUUUCAUUCCAACAAUUCUCAUUCCACAUGUUGGUCGGCACCUACAUGAUUUUUGCAACUUCCAUCCCUAAAAACCCACAACAAAUGUAAUCUCCCUAUUAAAUGCAAAACAUUUUAAAAAUUUUGUUAGGUACAAUUCCAUGUGAUUUCGUACCUACGUGAUAUUAUCUAUUUUUGUUCUAAACUUUUGUUACUUUGUUUUUGGUUUGCUCCAAAAAGUCUCAUGUCAUAGUAGAUGGUUGUCCUGACUUAUAUUGUAUAUGCAAGGUUAUUCUCUUAUUUAGUUAACGUAGAACUCUAACUAUAUUUUCAAAGAGAUCUGACAUAAGUUUUGAAUUGGUGAAGAAUGUAACUUUGAAGAUUACUUUUCAUGUGAUUUGAUUGCUUAAGUGUUAAGAGCAUGUUUGAGAAUGAUUUUAAAGUCGAUAAAAUUGAUUUUAGCAUUUCAAAACCAUAAGAAUUUUCUUUACACAUAAUCUUCCCACAAAGUUUCUCUCACUAAACUUUCGUCUAAUUAUAAAAACUUUCAUUCUCUCUCCAAAUUAAUUUUACAAUAUUAGUUCUCUCUAUAGUCUACACCUUUUCCUCACUAACUCCCUCUUCAAACUGAUUUUCUUACCAACCCUUCCACUACUUCAACAAACAACAGAUACUUAAUAGCAACCCCACUGACUCAAAAUUAACACAAGGCUACUGCUAAACAACAAAAUGUAAGCUUUUGUUGAAUUCACCAUUAGUGGUUUUACUGCCAACGUUCAGAAAUAAGAAAAACAGAUCAUUUUUCUGCACCAUUAUUAAUUGGACUUAAAAAAAAUUAACCAUUUCUGUAAAUUUUAAGUACUUUCAAUUUCAUGAUAUUGAACUUUUACAAUUCAAUAAUUCUUCCAACUAAUGCCUCUUAUUGGGCUUACAUUCCAAAAUUGUUGAGAAAUAUGAGGUAAAAACUGGGUUCCCCCCCUCCCCAUAUAAAAAGGGACUUUGUGAUGUCAAAAAGUAAAUAUUACAAGAAGCUGUUGGGGGGGGUAAAUCAAAUAUAAAACAGAAAUCAAAAUAAUGUCCUACUCUAAGUCGAAUGCUAAAAGAAGUCCUGCAAAUGAUAAUAUUAACAAGCCAAAGGAGCCUAAAGCAUCAUCUUUCUCCAAAUCCUUUUCUCAGUGGUAAAGCACAAUGGAGUGAUCAUUGAAACAAUUUUGUUUGCUAAGUUGUGAAAAAUGUCCAAAUCUUCUUUCCAAUUGAUCCCACAUCGGGCUGCUCUUCGUCAUACUCAUCUUCAUCGUCAAGUAUGCUUUGAUCUUCAUCCUCGUAUUCUGAUGAACCAUUCACUUCAUCGCACAAAUCAUUGACUGUUGUAACCAACUUCUCCGUGGGAGCAUUAUCUUCAGCUGUUCUUUGUGAUUCAAACUAUAUAGAAGUCACGAGAAAAUAAUUCAACAUAACUAAAAGAAUGCAACAGAAAGGUAAAUCAAUACAACAAACAGGAUUUUCACCCGAACUACUCUGUCCUCGGAAUGAUAGAUGGUUCUGACUGUUGUAAUCUUCACAGAGUCCAUUUUUUCCCCAUUUUCACCACCUACAGCAAGGGUUUCUUCGUUUUCUUUCUCCAUCACCGUUGUCAGGUUUGGUGAAACCUGAACUGCACUAGCUUUGCCAGGACUGCACCAAACUUACUAAAAUAAGGUUGGAUAUAGAAGUAGAAGCUCGAUGGGAAGAGUGAAGGACAAGUCCUUUUGACUGACCAAAAGCUUCCCUUACUCAGAUUCAUCUAACCUGGGACUUAGGAUUGGAAUGCUUUGUGAUCAAGACCAAGUACUUGUUCAAGAAACACAUGAAAGCACAUAUAUAAUAGGACACAAUCGAACAUCAAAAUAAUUGGCUGGUAAACCCAAUUUUACUGAAGUGCUUAUAAUUACGUACAUUUGUGAAAAGCAUCCUAAAUACACUUGUAUUCUUGUGAAUUUUAAACUAAAAAGCAUGCUAAAUCAGAAAAUUAUUCAAGAGGCUAAGCAAAUCAAUUUAGAAAGAGAAAUAUUCAAUUAGGACGCUAUGUCUCACCAAAAACAAUACAGGUAGUCAAGCAAGAUCAAUUCAGAUUCCCAUCCAGUCAGAAACCAUUGUAAAAACACCAGGUUGAGUACUGAUACAUAUAGAUGCAUGCCUUCAUACAAGCCAGGAAAAACACACAAAACAAAACGGAAAGCUCGACUCACAUCGAACAAGGGAGGAAUCUAAAUUGGAAAUAAACAAAGAUUUGAAGGGAAGAAAAUGAGGGGAGGGGAUCCCAAUAUCUAAAUAAUCAACUUGAGUAUUCAAGUGAAUUCAUCCUAGAAGCUUCAGUUUUGCCUCUCGCUCAAGAUUUGUCUAUUGAUCUCUUUAUGUAUGUAGUGGUGAAGUUAAAAACCAUGAAUGUAAACUUGCUAGCUCCUUUUCUAAAUAUUUUGAGAGGCAUAACCAAAAAAUCAACAAUAAAAUGAAAUUGUAAUCUAUAUAACAAAACCAACGCUGAUCUAUGUAAAGAAACAAAAAAACUAACUGGAUGUAUUGACAGAUUUAACAGUCAAGCAAAGGGAAUCUCCUUGCGUUUGCACAGGGAGAAUCUUCUUGUGAAUUUUAAGAGUCAUGGAAAACUAACUUCUUGUGUCGCCUCAGAUGAUAUCGGCUUUCUCCUUGCGUUUGCACAGGGAGAAUCUUUUGUUGUCUUUUACGUUGCCUGACAGUUGUGAUGCUAUCAGAACAUCCUUCACUGUCAUCAUCUUGCUCAUCUUCCGGCAGUGGCCGCUUCCGAAUGUUGCUAGUUUCUUUGUAUAAAGAAUUUGAAUCACUCUGUACAGGUACAUUAAGAUCCGACUGUCCUCCAGUUUCCCCAAGAAAAGCUUUUGCAUCUUGAACAGUUGCCUUCACUGAACGUGUUCUAUGACCAGACUUGAGUCCUUUCGCAUGUUUUGGCCUCUCUUUCUUCAUGUCAGGUUGUUUUGAAGCUUCUGAGGCUUCUUCAAACUUGCUGUCUAAGUUGUUAAAAUCAUCUAAUGUAUGUUCAUGUCUAUUUUCCGCCAGUCUGAUGUUAUCACUGAACGAAAAUCUUUGAACACCAGAUGGUUCACUCUCAAUAAAAGAAGAUUGUUGAGGUUCAUCAGCAAUACCAGACCUUUUCACAUCGCCAACAUUAACUCUAGGCUCCUUGACUUCUAAAUCAGUACAAUCUGCAGCCAACUUCAUGGGAACAGAAGGAACUACAUGUCCAAUUUUCUUAAUAGGAGAUAGUUUUAGAAUCUUUCUGCUGCAUCUUCUGAGCCAAGACAUGCGACCUCCAGAAUCUGAAGAAUCAAACUCUGAAGCAGCAAAUUCUCUUUGGAGGGUUUGUAGAGAAUUGGCAUCUAACUUUGGUAGAGGGUGCGAUUUUCUGAUUUCUUCAGGAAUUUGGAGGUCAGGAACUACAAAUUCUUCAAUGGACACACCACACUUACCACAACUCUUAUGCUUAUCAACAAAGGUCAAAAAGCAAACCCUAUCCCGAAUAAGUUGUUCCCUCUGAAUUUUAAGCUCCUUACUUAAUAUGUUGAGCUUAUCAAUAUCUUGAUGAAUUUCAAGAUGGUCUGCUAUCAUUUGCUUCCUAUUCAGGGAAACCACCUCCUUUUCCUUUUCCAAUUGAUGCCUUUCAGAUAAUAAAUCGUCUGUUUCUUUCUGAGCAAUGUCUCUCAAGCAAAACAAUUUGUUUCGUUCUCUCUCUCUCUCCUCUUCAAAUGCUAGCUCCCUUUCCUGCCGUUCUUUCUCUAGUUCCAUCUGGCUAUUCUGCAAGUGACUUUCAAGAUCUUUUCUCUGAAAUUCUAUAUCUUGCAGUAGUUGGCUAUGCUUGGUUUGAGCCUGCUCAGACAAGGCUUGCUGCUCUUGCCUUGUAGUUGAGGCAAAUAAUUCUUUUUCUUGUUUGACAUUCUCCAACUCUCUCUGCAUAUAAAUUAGCAUUUCAUUUUUCUCAUUUCUCAACCUUCCCUCCUCUGCCCCUUGCAAGAUCUCUAGUUUUUUCCUCUCCUCCACAAGAUCACUAAGUUCAUCAUGUAUUUCAGUCCUUUUUUCAUCCAAGGCUUCCCAGUCUCUCUCAAAUUUGACUCUUUCCUGCUUAAGAUCCUCAUGCUCUUUCAUAACUAUUUUGUUCUGAAGUCUGUAACUCUCAAUUUCCUGCAUCAGUUGACACUCUAAACGAACGUGCUCUGAUCUCUCUUCUUUCAUCACCUGCAAUUUCGCCCUCUCCUCAUGAAAUUGCUGCUCUUUCUGAGAAUUUUCAGUUCUGAUUUCCUCGAUCUCAUUAAUGAGAGAUCGUAAGCUUUCUCUAUCAGCAAGCAUUUGCAACCUUUCCACCUCCAGCUUUUUCUCAUCAGCUUUUAAAAUUCUAUCUUUUGAUUUCAAAGUUUUUAUCUUUUGUUCAAGAUCACCCUCUUUCUCCUUUGCUCGAAGCAACUUUUUAUCCAAAGCUUGCUCUUGCUUCACCAACUUUUCUUUCUCAUGAUUAAUUUCAAGAUCCUUCCUUUUGAGUGCUCCUAGCACUGUACUACCUUCAUUAUCCAGAGACUGCCUCUUUUCUUCCAAUUGUAACUCAAACUGUUCUUUCUUCUUCUGUAGAAUUACUCUUUGCUCGUCAAGCAGCUGUUGGAUCUCCAUCUGAAAUGAACAUCAAGAAGACAAUUGUAAGAACAAAGAACUAUUUUACCUUCAAGUUAAAUUCAAUGAGAUUCAGUUACCGUAUUUUUCUUCUGAUACUCAAAUAUUCUUUUUUUUUUUAUUAUUUUGUAUGGUGAUGAGACUUUAAUUGCACGGCAACUGAAACACCAAGGUUCAACCUUGAAUGAAAAUUUGAACAGGAAAUAACAUGCACGGAAGUUAUCUAUGUACAAAGAAAGAUAAACAAGAAUGAAGAGAAAAAAAAAACACAUGGACCAGCAUCAUCCAUAAAUCUCAUUUGUAUAUCUCUAAAAACCAAAGAAUCUCAGCCAUCAUGACAUCAACAUGCACAAAUGCAUCACAGUAUGAAAUAAACAGAAACGUGCCACGAGUAAUAAAAUUUCAAGAGAACACUCCCAAUAAUCCUAUUUGACUUUAGAAUGAAAAUUUGAAUCUGCUACCAGAAAAAACAUUCAAUAUCAGUUGUUUUUCCCUUUUCUCUCCUACUCAAUAUUUUUAAACUAUACCUGCAUCCAAUCCAAACCAAGUAACAUUUUGGUACAAAUACAAACAACUGCAGGUUGCAUGUCAAAAAUUACCAAAACAGGAAUAAGAAACGUAGUGUUUGACUUACCAUUUCUCUCCCAUGAAGGUUUUCUUCCAUCUGACGUAAUUCUUCUUGUUUUUUCUCUAAGAGACUUCUUGAAAAAUCAGCUUCCUGCAAACCAUUUUUGUUGUUGGAGGGGAAAUGCAGAAGUAGUCACAUGCAAAGACACACCCAUUGCCUUAAAAAUAAUAAUAAAAUAUAGAAAAAAGGAGAAGUGUCUCAUUUAAUUAGAUUUCACCUUCUCUUUUGCUUCUACAUCUGCUAAUCGUCUAUUUACAUUAUCUUCCUUCCCUUUCUGGACUGAACUUGACAGAUCGAUCUUCUUCUUCAUCUCUUCAAGAUCCUUCUCUUUCUGCUUCAUAGUUGUGCUAUUUUCACUUACCUUCUGCUCUUUAUCAUUAAGCAAUUCACGACUCUUGCUCAGUUUUUCUUCUCUUUCCUGCAACUUCUGCUGCCACUUACGUAAACUUUCUCUUUCUUUAUGGGAGGUUGCCUCAUGUGCUUCUUUCCUAAACCAGUAAUUAACAAUAAAUAAGUGAAGAAGAAAGUACCCUUUGGUGAAUACUGGCACAUGUCCCAAACUGGCCACAUAGUUAACUUCUCUGACUCUAACAAAAUUGACUAAAAAAUCAACAGUCUGCCCCUCAAAUUCGAUUUUGGGGUUCAUCAUUCCAGGUCCAGAUAUCUGCCUUUUCUUACCUAGUGAGUAUCCUGUCAGUAUUUGCAAGUUCAGGUAAUAUUAACUUGAAAUAAAUAGUUUUUUUAAAAUAAAAUACCAACCACCAGCCAACUUAUGGAAGGAAAAUCAUUUUAAGCACACCAAGUGCCAGGAUGUUUGGCAAGAGGGUUCUUAUUGUCUCCAGUAGGAUUUCUUUCAUAGAAUAUGUGGUAAGAUACCAUCCCCCCCCGGAUAACAAUAAUGCCACAAGCCACAAAGGAUUCCUCAACUACUUACCGGAAAGGACUUCAAUAAAAAAAAAGAGUAAAAGGAAUCAACUAACUAUGAAAGGAUUCUGUUAGGCACCCAACUCCACAAACAGAAAAUACCCAACCAGAAGCCACAACAGAGCAACAAUGACUCUAUGACAAUUGAUAUAUUCAAGCUAAUGUCAAUUAUGCUCAAAGUACAACAAGUUCAGUUCCUUAAACAGUCAUAAACACCCAGAGAAUCAAGAAGAACAGAGAUAAUAUUUAAAGAAGAACAAGGACAAUGUUCAAGAACAAAAGAGAAAAGAUAAGGGCAGAUUUGAGAGCGUCUCCCUCUCCAAACAGCUUCCUCAAGCUUCAAUUACUCCACACCCUUCUUUCAUCGGCCAAAUCCCUACUUAAACCCAGCCAAAGUACAGUCCCCCCAACAUUCUGGGUUCCCCUCCUUGUACCUGAUUCGUAUUAUCAUCUCCCAGUGGUUUUGCUGAAUUUUCUGCAUUGGUUUGCACCCUUUUACCCCUCCUCUUGUACUUGUGAAUUAUCAGGGGUCUUACAUAUUUGAAUCCAAAAGAAUAAGACCAAGCUGAUAAUUACAAAAAGUCUAUCUAAACUGACACCCAUAAUGAUGUAUCAGAGAGAGAGGCCGGCUUUUGUCGUUUGUUGGGGUGUGUGUGUGUUUUUUCUUUUUGAUAUCUGUGAGUGUCCAGGCCGCUCACGCGCGGCUAAUCUCAUGGGACAACCAGCCUCACCCUACAACAUUUGGGUGUCAAGAAAACUCGAGAAAAUUAAUUCCUAGGUAGGUGUCCACCAUGGAUUGAACUCAUGACCUCUUAGUUAGUUAUUGAGACUAUGUUCUUUUUUUACCACUAGGUCAACCCAUGGUGGGAUGUGUGUGGUGAUGUCGGAUAUUUGGGGCGAGAAAAACAAAAAGAGUGUUCAAAGGUUUGGAGAAGACCCCUAGUGAAGUUUGGUCCCAAAUUGAUGGAUCCUCACUGUUCCAACUCUUAAUAUAGAAGGAUGAAAUAUAUGCAAUAGUACUAAGAUGAAAAAUGGCAAAAGCAAAUACAGGAUUCUCUCAGUCGACGGCUCCCUCUCCCUCACCUGCUAUCCUAUCUUUCAAGAAUAAAACAGUAGGUUUCUUGACAACCAAAAUCGUGCCCUCUCCUUUCCUUCUCUUCUUUAUUUAUGUUCGCUCCCUCACUCCCCUACCGUGGUCCCCUCUCAGUGGAUCGUGCGUCGACGCUCCACUCACCUGUGGUCCCCACCUGCAGUUGGUUACAUAACCAACUUCCCCUCCUUCUUCUCUUUCCUAUUCCUUCUCCUACUGUAUUGGUGUAUGAUGGGUGGUCUAACAGAGGGUUCAUGUUUCUCUUUGGGAAAAGACCCCUAGUGAAGUUUGGUCCUUAGUGAGGGUUCAUGUUUCUCUUUGGGUUUUGAUUUCGAAGUUUUUUUCGUAAUUAUUAUUUAUUACCUUGGUAACAUUUUACUUAGUUGAAAGCCCUUUUUGUAGAGAGCUUGUUUUAUGGGUUUUUUUUUUUCAUACGCUUUUAUUUUUUCAUUCUUUCUCAAUGCCAGUUGUUGCUUCUAAUAACAGAGAGAGAGAGAGAGAUGCAUCGCCACUAAAUCUAGGGUUCUUUUAUGAACAAACAAUGACUUCCAUUUAGAAAAAAGAAAGAAUACAAUGACAUACAAAAAACCUUAGAAAAAAGGUUUCCAACUAAAUAAGAUAUUACCUAGGGAAUAAUUACAAAAGGUCUUCAAAACCAAAGCCCAAAGGGGAACAUGAAACCUCACCAAGGACCGAACCUCAUGGGGUCCCAGUCCAUACCUCUAAACAAUUAGUUGUCUCUCCUCCUAAAGAUCCCACAACAAAGAACACACCCCCUCAAACUGCAAAAAUGUCCUUUCUACAAAUUUCGAAAACAUGCCUCGAACCCUUUCACCACCCAUUCAAAGAGGUGUUGAAUCUAGCUUUGUUAAAUUACCAAACACUUAAACUGACAAAAUAUUAAUUAGGGAAAAAAUGACAUUGCGAAAGUUUGCACAAGAUGAUCUCUUGUUCUAGUGUCAUGUUAAAUCACUAAUGAAUCCAAAAACUUAAAUUGAUAAAUAUUUUUUAUAAGAGUUAAGUUGAUAUAUUGUAGAAAAUUUAAUCUUAUAUUUAUACUUGAAAAGCUUCUCAUUACCAAUCAGAUUCCUAUAAGAAAUCAAGGACAACAAUUCAAACAGAAGGAUUGCUCCCAAAUCCAAACAAAUCCUGGAUUGAUGGAUCAUGCUCAAGGGAAAGGAGAUUCAGAAAAAUACCCCGUGACUAAGGAUAUCUGCUCAGUUUGAAGCACACUUUCACGAGCUUCAACUUCAUGCAUUCGCAUCUCCAACUCUGAACUUUUCCUAUUUACCUCAGCAAGCUUGGCUUCAGCAGCAUUCAACUUUUUCUGCAACUCCAAAGAUUUCUCCUCAAUUCCAUGCAUCAAAGCAUUUGCAUCAGCCAACUUCUUCUGAGAUGUAAGCUUUAUUUCAGCACGCUCCUCAUUUACUUCAUAAAAAGCCAUUUUAAGCUGCAGCAAGAGCAGGCAUGAAAACUCCUUUCAACCUUGACAUUCAAGAAGCAAAAAAUAAUUGCAAUGAAAACAAUUCACAAAAUUACAAAAUUCUUAGUUUAUUCUUUUUGGCAAUAAACCAAACUUAACUUUAUACGAGUCUUCUAAGAGAAUGAUAUUAGCUUAGUCAUAAGAUAUCAAAGUUCGCCCAAUCAUCAAAUUCAGCAUUAGUAAGAUAACUUCUUAACUUUAAGUCCCAAAGACAGAAAGAGUCAGACCAGCAAUCGCUGACUAUAGAGUCCUUAGCUUUCACAAUUUUGUAGUCUAGGAAAUUCCACACGAAGGGGCGAGUCAAUGAGCCAUUUAUCUUUCCAAAACCUACGUUUUAUCCCUACAACCAGUUUUGAGUUUCCUAUGGAAAUAAGCAGUAUGGCCAAUGUUGUUAAACUAGGUCUUUUGCAUCCAACUAAUGGUCUCACUUUUAAUCACCUCUUCAAACUUAAUUUUCAGAGAAUGUUUCCUCUGCUAAGAACUUAGGGAACCAGCCACUUCUAGCCUAUUCAGCACAUAAACAGGUUCCUUGAUCUAAAGUCCCCAAAAAUUAAUUAUUCCAAAUUUCAAGUGACUACUUCAAACAAGAUGCAAAACUAAGUAAAAACUAUUUGUUAUACUACAAAAUCAAGUCACUAAGACGAAGAUAAAAUAGCACAAGAGUACCAGAAAAGAUAGUGAAGCAAGAAAGACCAGCUUCUACUGACAUCCUUAUAUCAUAGUGAUAAAAUAGUGUGAACAAAUCCACGCUGACCAAUGCUGCAAUGGCUAGAUAUGUCCAUGUAUAAAGCCCUCCCUAGAGAAUGGAACAAUGACCUGGCAGGGCACACAGCCAUAAAAACUUCAAAUUGAGAUAUCUUUAGACAUCUAAUCAACCUUUAAGAUCUAGGACCUAUGUCCAUAGACUUAAGUUCAUUCCACAUAUCCAAUUUUCAAACUAAGAUCAUAAAUUUUGUUCAAUCUCUCCUGGUCUGUUCACUCAAUCUCUUCACAGUGAAGAUUGAUUAUAUCACUUCUGUAGUUUAGCUGAGGGAACCUUUCUUUCAACUAUAAGUUCAAAAAGGUAUUGUCUGCUAGGGAGAUAGUUGAUAUGACUUUAAUGGCCAUUGUUGUCCCUUUUACAUCACUUUCAGUCUUAUCCGGGCUCUCCUAAUAAGCAGGGGUCAGGGGAAGAUGGAUAGAAUUUUAGAACAUUUUGGAGUGUCACACUAAGUAAAGAUUAUUGCAGUUUUUUUUUUUUUUUUUUUAUGGAAACAAUAGUAGAGCUUAUUGUACUUGUCAAAAAGUGGUCCUCCAAUCUCUCUUCAAGGGAAAGGGAAGUUUUUGUGGCAAGUAGUUCUUUUCCACUAUUAUCUGGAAUAUUUGGUAAGUGAGAAACACAAUUUUUUUUAUUAAGUCAAAGUUGUGAUUGCAUGACAAUUAGAAUUUGGCACAUGUAACACUCUUUGUAGGCUUCCCCAGACCUUGACUUUUUUCCCUGCUUUCUAUAUUCACUUAAAUAGAAAAUAGAAGGCCGAUUUCUAGAAUUGACAAUUGUGAUAGAACUUGGUAUUAUUUAUGAUAAGGUGGUACAAGUACAAACUUGGGAAUUCUUAAAUCACCAAUUGAACCAAAAUCUUGAGCUAGCAGGUGAAGGUAAAUUUAAUUAUAUAUCACUAACACUCUCUUUCACUUAUGAGCUUGAAAUACUUGAAAGGCCAACAAGUAGAAAUCAAUUUGAAUUGGGGAGAAAACAACAUUGUAGGGGUUUGAACCUAGGACAUCCCGAAGCAAUCUGCUCUGAUACCAUCUUAAACCCUGCUUGACCCAAAAACUUAAGCUAGUAGGUAAAGGUAAAUUUAAUUAUAUAUCACUAACAAGAAUAAAUAGAGAGCUCCCUUGUCUCCCCAUACUGCAAAACUCUUCUACACUAAAGCAUACUCCUUGAGAGUAGAUGCUACACUUCAAUCUACGCUCGGUCACAACUUCUAUAGCUCAAUUACAAGGGUCCACCAAAGCCAAUUUAUCCAUUGCCAAUAAAAGCCCCCCCACACCGCACCAGUUACAUAUUUUCUUUGGUACACAUUAGCGAUUGAUGGUCAAAGGUUGUCAAACGAAAGGAAAAUGACAACAUAAAGAAAUAAGUAAAUCAAAUAAUGAGAAAGUGGAAUUGCCAAGAGUAGCAUACACUAGAAACAUGCUGCUUCUCAGCAGCUAGGGCUUUCUUCAAAUUAUCCCUCCUCGUUUCAACCUCAGAUAAUGCAAUUAAAUGUGCUGAUUGUUCACGCUUGAAGAUCUCCUCAGUUUCUGCUAAAUCUUGCCCUAGUUCGUCAAACUUUGAAGCCCAAUCUUUCUUCUCUAUCAAAAGAAGUCCCAAAUUGUGCUGAUAAUCAAGAAGCUGCACGAAAAUAAUAAUCCAAUAAAUCCAUGUAAGACAACUUAUAAGGUCUAACAGAAACUAUACAAGAAAAGUUGCAAGCAGUUAAAACAUUUAAUCCCACCUUGCAAGAUGUUUAGAAUAAAUACUACGGCAUUAUAAUGUGCAGGCCGAUAUUACAUUAAAAAACAUAUAUAUUCACCAGCCCAUUCCCUAGCUGUUCCACCAAAAAAUUAUCAUUUCUUCAACAGAAGUAUGUGUGUCUGUGUAUCAAUGAAAACAAUCUCAUCUGCAUAAUGAAUAUAAAACAUGUAUAAUUGAUGAAGCUCUUUGACGAAAAAAAUAAACCGAAUUCAAUAUUUGUCUAUCAUAUUUCCAAGCAACUAACGAGUUUCUUGCUAUCUCCAGUCACUUACAAAGGAUACUUCCCCAGCAACUAUUUAUUAACACCUCCUAAAGCUGGACAUGCCAAAAGAUGUCAACAUAGUUAAGCAAAUUAUCUAAAUCCUAUCCACCAACCAGCCAGCAUUAUGACAAAGAAAACAGAGAGAUUGAAGAAAGGACAAUUCAAGGCAUUUCCUACAAACCACUGCAGGGUUGAAAAGAACAUAAUUUUUUAAAUGUUGAUAUCCAAAUAGUCUUACGAGGAAAGAGAUAAAUCUAUGAAAAAGAAUAUAAGCUCGAGAUAGAAUCUUAGGUAUAUUGCUGAACUCAACUAAGUUUCUAACGAAACAUGUGAUCAGCCAAACUGACUUGGUAUUGUUAUAUCACAGAAGUGUAUCACGAAUUGUUCUUGGGAACUAUUUCUGGUAUGCUGCCAGCAAAGAAAGAUUAACAAGUUUAAACUGGGUUCUCUAGAAUCUUAUGCUGCAUGUCCAUAUGAGCACGCAAGCUUGACAUAUUGUAGGUUGCCUGGUUUUUCUAAGUGGACAUUGAAAUUGUUAAUGGCUUAAAGUACUCUCCCAAAGAAGCUUGCAGACAAAUAACAAUGAAAUAAUUUCUUUGCCUUUUCAAUUGUACUCCUAUCCAUAAAUAAAAAGCUAAAGUAAUAAAACAAUUACAUUUUAACAAGAGUUCUUUCUUUUUUGCUUGACAUGAACCAACAGAAGUACCAAUAAUAACUAGCUUUUACCAGGAAACAUAAGCCACCACAUUAGAAUUGAACCCCAAUUAAUCAGAAGACAAAAAAAAAAAAAAAAAGGAGUAAGACUUGAUGAUAAUCCCUAACCUCGCUUUGAAGCCUUGAAGCCUUCUCGAGAAGCGCUUCCCGAUCCUUACGCUCCAUUGCAGCCGCGUCCAACAACCCGGCUUUCUUAAACUUCCUCCAAUCAUCCAUGUCCCCAGUAUCCACCGCCGUCGCGGUUUUAUACAAUUCGUCGUUAAGAGAUCCCAACGGCGGAGGUGGGUCGUCUGUAAAAGUCACGUCCUUGCCCUUCCCAAGAAUAAUGGAAUUGGUAAGUGCAAGUUUUGGUUCGGUUCGAGGCGUGAGGGAUGCAGCAGGCCACCCCGUCCUCUGAGGCGUGAACAUGAUGGGAUUUCAAUGUUCUAUCUAUGCAGUGUAAAGAAGAUGAAUUCGUGAAAAUGGCAAUCUAAAAAUGAAGUUUUGAAAAAAUAAUUUGUGAUGUGCUUCCCACCCAGUUCGGGACAAACCCUACUUCAACCGUUGAGUUCAAUGCAAGAGGAAGAGAAGAGUAACAACAACAACAACCAUUAGCGGUUUUCAGAAUCAAACUCAAAGCCCCUUUCUUUUACGCCAAAGAGAUGUUCCAAAUAAUACAAGGUUAAUCCUUCGGCGUUUCUUCACUUCCAAGGUCUAAUUUUUAGUUUUAUUCUCAAUUAGUCUUUCUUAAAAUCAAAUUAUACUUCUUAAACAAAAUAAUAAUACUUCUUCACAUUCAUAUUAAUUCAAUCGUUAUUAUUUAAACAUUUUCAAAUAUAGUAAAAAUUAAAUACGUUGGAUUGGAGGCUGCUCUCGUCGUUUUGUUAACUAAUAAUUAAAUACGUCGUCUAUUGUGUCGUUGUUUACUGGUUCUAAUUUUCCUUAUAAUAAUUACAAACCCAACUUUAUUUUACCACCAAUCAAAUAUCCUUUAUAAACAUUGACAAAUUUUUAUCAAUGCAUGCAUGUGACGUUAAUAUAAAGUGAUAAAAUUAUAGAAAUAAACCAAAUAAGUCUAAAAAAUGAGGCAAAUCUUCAUUUUAUACCGUUUAUCUUGUUUUCAUUUCAUUAACAGUAGUAGCUAAAACUUUAUUUUAUAGCACCACUUGUAAAGAAAUCCUAAACUAUUAUUUCUUACAAAAAUGGUUAAAUAUAGUUGACAAGUAAAUAUUAAAAUUUCAAGGUAAGAAAAACAUCUUAUGCAAAUACUACAUACAAAAAAGGGAUUUAUUUAAAAAUGAAUCACAAACGUGAAAAAGAAAAAUAACUAUAUAAUUUGAAAAAUACUUCUAUCUUAGAAAUGACUAGACCUUCAUUUGAAUACGAUUAGUUGGAUUUCUUAUGACAAAAAUAUUUCAUUAUGCUAUUAUUUUUUCAAUUAUAAUCAUUUCUAUAAAAAAAAACAUAAUAAAUAUAAAUAAAGUAUUUUUAAAUAUAGCAGAAUAAAUGAAAGUAGAGUGGAAUUUUAGAUGAUAUGGGUGUGUAUUAGUAAGAUUUAA